UACGAAGGGGGCUAGCGUUGCUCGGAAUCACUGGGCGUAAAGCGCACGUAGGCGGAUCGUUAAGUCGGAGGUGAAAUCCUGGAGCUCAACUCCAGAACUGCCUUCGAUACUGGCGAUCUUGUAGUCCGGGAGAGGUGAGUGGAACUCCGAGUGUAGAGGUGAAAUUCGUAGAUAUUCGGAAGAACACCAGUGGCGAAGGCGACUUACUGGACGACUGUUGACGCUGAGGUGCGAAAGCGUGGGGAGCAAACAGG
rnacentral:rRNA from 1 species